UGUGACUCAGUAACAAUAUAAAACUUCGAUCUUAACUCAACAUCGCGCAUUUUAUAUCGAGCAUCCGUACAGUGAAGUGUUAGUGAGUUCAAAUGUUUAUAAACGGUGUCGAAGUUAUUAACUCGCGUUUGGAAAACAUUAGGCUAAAUCACCAGGAACAAAACGAAAUGCAUCCUAAUUCGGAAAAACCGCCAAGCCCGAAAGCAAAGCUGCCGCUACUUCACCUUACACCUUCCGGCAGUAAUGAGGGUAAAGAAGGGACUCCGCCACAAAGGAUAGACAACCCAUGGUUAUUACGAGUCCAGGACAAUAUCCCGAACACACCACCACCGCGGACUGAGAAACCAAGCAACUUUUUCCCUCAUAGAAUUGGAUAAAAACGUGCAAAAUUAUUUUUAUGAUGGUUGAAGUUAAUGGCAUAAUGGCACGCUGCCAUACAGAAGAGCGAAUAUUUAAAUGAGUCAAAUAAAAAUAUAUCAUUACGUUAAUAAAUGUGUACACGUAAACGUAAGACGUAUCAAAGAAGCUUUGCCAAACAGUGAAAUGGUGGAUAGAAUAUAAUGGGGAAUUAUGAUUGUUUUCGUUGCCCACGUUUUGUUAUGCGAGUUGAAUGGAGAGUUUAACGUUUCAUGCAACUGAAAAACCCCUUUGUUUGUAUUUAAAUAUAAGCUAUAUGCCUAUCUAGUGUUCAAAUUUAGUGAAGUAGAAAGACAUAGUAUUGUAAAUAAAUUUUCAUAUCGUAUUCUGUUUUGGGUUUAGUAAGUAAGAUAGUUGUAUAUUAUGAAAAUUAAAGCAAUAAUAUAAAUAAAGGAAUCUCUGAAUAUAUUAAAUAUAACA